GACGAACGCUGGCGGCGUGCUUAACACAUGCAAGUCGAACGGAAAGGCCCUGCUUUUGUGGGGUUCUCGAUUGGCGAACGGGUGUGUAACACGUGAGUAACCUGCCCCUGUCUUUGGGGUAACUUCUGGAAACUGGGGCUCAUACCGGAUAGGAUCUCCUGCUGCACGGUGGGCGUUGGAAAGUUUCGGCGGUUGUGUAUGGACUCGCGGCGUAUCAGCUUGUUGGUGGGGUAGUGGGUUACCAAGGCUUUGACGGGUAGCCGGCCUGAGAGGGUGAGCGGCGACAUUGGGACUGAGAGACGGCACAGACUCCUACGGGAGGCAGCAGUGGGGAAUAUUGCACAAGGGGCGGAAGCCGGAUGCAGCAACGCCGCGUGCGGGAUGACGGCCUUCGGGUUGUAAACCGCUUUCGCCUGUGACGAAGCGUGAGUGACGGUAAUGGGUAAAGAAGCACCGGCUAACUACGUG
rnacentral:rRNA from 1 species